AUUGAACGCUGGCGGCAGGCCUAACACAUGCAAGUCGAGCGGAUGAAGGGAGCUUGCUCCUGGAUUCAGCGGCGGACGGGUGAGUAAUGCCUAGGAAUCUGCCUGGUAGUGGGGGAUAACGUCCGGAAACGGGCGCUAAUACCGCAUACGUCCUGAGGGAGAAAGUGGGGGAUCUUCGGACCUCACGCUAUCAGAUGAGCCUAGGUCGGAUUAGCUAGUUGGUGGGGUAAAGGCCUACCAAGGCGACGAUCCGUAACUGGUCUGAGAGGAUGAUCAGUCACACGGGAACUGAGACACGGUCCAGACUCCUACGGGAGGCAGCAGUGGGGAAUAUUGGAAAAUGGGCGAAAGCCUGAUCCAGCCAUGCCGCGUGUGUGAAGAAGAUCUUCGGAUUGUAAAGCACUUUAAGUUGGGAGGAAGGGCAGUAAGUUAAUACCUUGCUGUUUUGAAGUGACCAACAGAAUAAGCAACGGCUAACUUCGUG
rnacentral:rRNA from 1 species